rnacentral:rRNA from 1 species
CUACGGGUUGCUGCAGUGGGGAAUAUUGGGCAAUGGGCGCAAGCCUGACCCAGCAACGCCGCGUGAGGGAAGAAUGUCUUCGGAUUGUAAACCUCUGUCCUUGGGGACGAAAAAAAUGACGGUACCCAAGGAGGAAGCUCCGGCUAACUACGUGCCAGCAGCCGCGGUAAUACGUAGGGAGCAAGCGUUGUCCGGAAUUAUUGGGCGUAAAGGGUGCGUAGGCGGCGCUGUAAGUCAGAUGUGAAAUCCCCGGGCUUAACUCGGGAGUUGCAUUUGAAACUACAGUGCUUGAGUAAAGAAGGGGUAAGUGGAAUUCCUAGUGUAGCGGUGGAAUGCGUAGAUAUUAGGAGGAACACCAGUGGCGAAGGCGACUUACUGGUCUUUUACUGACGCUGGGGCACGAAAGCGUGGGGAGCAAACAGGAUUAGAUACCCCCGUAGUC